rnacentral:ncRNA from 1 species
GAGCGCCGUAUGAGGUGAAAGUCUCACGUACGGUGUGGACCGUGGGAAAAACUGGCGAUAACCUCAAAGGCUUACCUAUCGGUAU